rnacentral:rRNA from 1 species
AGCAGCCGCGGUAAUUCCAGCUCCAAUAGCGUAUAUUAAAGUUGUUGCAGUUAAAAAGCUCGUAGUUGAAUUUCAGGCCUGGCUGGACGGUCCGCCUUUUGGGUGAGUACUGUCUGUGGUCGGGUCCUACCUUCUGGCGAAGCGUCAUGGCCUUAACCGGCCGUGGCGGGGAACCAGGACUUUUACUGUGAAAAAAUUAGAGUGUUCAAAGCAGGCAGUCGCUUGAAUACAUUAGCAUGGAAUAAUGGAAUAGGACAAUGGUUCUAUUUGUUGGUUUCUAGGACCGUUGUAAUGAUUAAUAGGGAUAGUUGGGGGCAUUAGUAUUCAAUUGUCAGAGGUGAAAUUCUUGGAUUUAUUGAAGACUAACUACUGCGAAAGCAUUUGCCAAGGAUGUUUUCAUUAAUCAAGAACGAAAGUUAGGGGAUCGAAGACGAUCAGAUACCGUCGUAGUCUUAACCAUAGACUAUGCCGACUAGGAAUCGGGCGAUGUUGACAAAAUGACGCGCUCGGCACCU